AGCCAUGCAUGUGUAAGUAUAAACUCUCUUGUACUGUGAAACUGCAAUUGGCUGGCGUGGAACUGCGAUGUUCAUUCAAAUUUUUUGCCCUAUCAACUUUCGAUGGUAGGAUAGAGACCUACCAUGGUGGUAACGGGUGACGGAGAAUUUGGGUUCGAUUUCGGAGAGGGCCUAAGAAAUUGCUACCAUAUCCAAGGAAGGCAACAUGCGCCCAAAUUAUCCAAUCCCGACACAGGGAGAUAGUGACAAUAAAUAACAAUACCAGCCUUUUACAAGUCUGGUAAUUGGAAGGAGUACAAUCUAAACUUUAACGAGGAUCCAUUGGAGGAAAAGUCUGGUGCCAGCAACCACGGUAAUUCCAGCUCCAAUAGCGUAUAGCUAAGUUGUUGCAGUUAAAAAGCUCGUAGUUGGAUCUCUGAGCGUGGCGGGCGACCUGCCUCUUCGGGUGUGCACUGGCCAUCUCGCCCUUGCUGCGGGGGGUGUGCUCCUGACCUUAGCUGGUCUGGAUGCGGAUUCGACGAUGUUACUUUGGAAAAAUUACAGUGCUCAAAGCAAGCCUACGCUUUGAAUAUGAAAGCAUGGAAUAACAUGAUAGGACUCUGGUCCUAUUGUGUUGGUCUUCGGGACCGGAGAAAUGAUUGAUAGGGACAGUUGGGGGCUUCCGUAUUUCAUUGUCAGAGGUGAAAUUCUUGGAUUUAUGAAAGACGGACUACUCCAAAAGAAUUUGCCAAGGAUGUUUUCGUUAAUCAAGAACAGAAGUUGGGGGCUCGAAGACGAUCAUAUACAAUCCUAGUCUCAACUGUAAACGAUGCUGACUAGGGAUUGGCUAAAGUCUUUGGGUUCUGAGGGAGUAUGGUCGCAAGGCUGAAACUUAAAGGAAUUGACGAAGGGCACCACCAAGAGUGGCCAUGGCGGCAAUUGACUGAACAUGGGGAAACUUACUAGGUCCAGACAUAAUGAGGAUUUACAUAUUGAGAGCUCUUUCUUGAUUCUAUGGGUGGUGGUGCAUGGCCGCUCUUAGUUGGUGGAGUGAUUGUUUUGUUAAUUCCGUUAAUGGACGAGACCUCAUGCUGCUAACUAGUUACGUGAAGGUUCUCCUUCGCGGCCAACUUCUUAGUUGGACUAUGGCCGUCUAGGCCAUAGAUGUUCGAGGCAAUAACAAUAUGUGAUGCCAUUAGAUAUUCUGGGCCGCACGCUGCUACAGUGAUGGAUUCAACGAGUUUAUCACCUGGCCGAGAGGCCUGUGUAAUCUUCUAAAAGUUCGUCGUGAUAGGGAUAGAUCAUUGCAAUUAUUGAUCUUCAACGAGGAAUGCCAGGUAAGCGCGAGUCAUCAGCUCGCAUUUGACUACGUCCCUGCCCUUUGUACACACCGCCCGAGGCUCCUACCGAUUGAAUGGUCCAGUGAAGUUUUCGGAUUGCGGCGAUUGUUGGCGAUGUCGUGAGAAGUGCACUAAAUCAUUUAGAGGAAGGAGAAGUCGUAAC
rnacentral:rRNA from 1 species